AUGACUCACCUUUUCUGAAUCCUCUGAUGAUUAAGCAUCCAUUUUGAUUGUAAGUGUACGGGGUAGAGUUUCGAGUAGUUAAAUAUUUAGUUUAACAGAAUGGAAUACGUAUUAGUGUUAAACCUAAUCAAACCUAACGAUGGUCACGAGAUCCGAACCUUAACGAAAUUCACAAAGUAUAGUCUUGUUUAGACAGCACUUUGGCAUUCGUUUAACGAAAUUCACAAAGUACAGUACUUUGGCAUCCGUUUAAUGAAAUUUACAAAGUACAACACUUUGGCAUUCGUUAGUUAGUUCCUGAAUCGAUCGGACAGAAUAUCGCAUCGGUGAUUAUUGGUUAGAACACCAACGUA
rnacentral:lncRNA from 1 species